AUUAAAACAUUUUCUUUCUCUCUUAAGUAAGAUAAAAUUCAUAAUAGUAAACAAACAGACAAAAAAAAUGGGACAAGCUUGAUUAUUAUUAACUUAAGUAAUAAAAGGGUGCUGCAAAGAUUUUUUUGAUUCAAAACAAUUUUAAAUUUGAGUUUUCAAUCAGGAAACAAAACGAAAAUAGCAUUAUGUUCGAGCAUAAAAUGCAAAAAAAAACAACAAAAAAACAAACACAUGAAUUUUUUAACAAGAGAGAACGUUUAUCACAAAACUAGGCAGCGGGUAAUAACACGGAAGCGGGUAAUAACUUUACCUGAAUUAUUUUCCUACAAUUUUUUAACUAAAAGUUUUAGUUACUAAGAUUUUUUAAAAUCAUUUUGAAUUUUAAAACAAAAACAAAAAAACAAAAAAAAAACAAAAAAAAAAAAUGCAAGGAAAUUUUCAACACUCGUUAAAUUAAAACUAAUUCAUUUAAAAAAUAGCUAGCCAAUUUUUUCUUCACACCAAAAUUCUUAGACCCAGUAGGCACGGUUUUUUAAACGUUCUCUGCACGUUUUUAUUAGGUUUAAACCUGAUAAAAACGUUUAAAAACGUUUUAAAAACGUACUGUGUCCACUGGACCUUAAGAAAAUUUGAUUAUGGAGAAGGACAUACAGACAAGUUUAACCUUGAAAAUCAGAUAAUUGAUAUUUAUUAUUUAGUUUUAUGAUUUAUUUGCAUUUAAAGAUAAAAAAGUACAGAAGGAAAUUAAAAACUAACGUUUAUCAUUAUCAUUUUUGUUACGAGGAAUAAACUUUUGGGACUGAUAUAUUGGUAAAUAGUGAGAAGAAGCAAAUAUAAAAAUUUUUAAAAAAUAGGUUGACAAGAUCGUGCGUAGUUUUUUCGGUCAUUAAAGGAUUGAAAUUUAAUCUAAGACAUGCUAGAAACUCUAAUUUGAAGACAUGCUAGAAACUCUGGCUUGAAGAUAAUAAGUCUUGAAGAUAUGUCAUUCAUAUAAUAAAUUAUGAAGAUCUUCAAACAACAUUAAAUUCGAAGGCUCUUAUCGAAAGUUGAGAAUCGUUAGUGAUGAAGGAUUUUAAAAGAAAAUACAAGAAUUUUCUUUGCCUGCAAUAUAUGAACAGUGAUUAGAAAGUUUCAAAGUCACUAUUGUACAAAUAUCUAGAGUUGAAUCGAUAGAUUUCAUAGAGCUAUUGAUGUUCAAUGAAUACAAAUAUAAAGUAUUUUUUCCAAAGCGUUUAUGAAACCAUUUUUUGUAGACUUAUUAAGUUGACAAUUUUUCGAACAUUCUGAAAUGUUUUUAAUAUGUUGGGAGCUAAGUGAUUUACUGAUAGCUGAUUGCUAGUCUCUUCCUCAAGUUUAAAAUAACAAUUAAACAAACAAAAGCUACGUUUUUAAAACUGCGUCGUAUUUAAUAAUUUAAAGGAAGUUUAUUUUUUUAUUUUUUGUUAUUAUUUUAUUUUUACAUAUCUAACACAUGUUGUAUAUUUUUUUAAUUUAACGUUACAUUUGUCUAGCUUAAAAAACCAUGAGAAAUUGUAGUUUUAUUUUAUACAUAGACAAGGUUAUGUAUUUCAAACUGUUAGGAGCACAUUAUUUAGAGUGAAUAAUCCGAGUGUGAUCAAA
rnacentral:lncRNA from 1 species